CUGCUUCACUGACAUCCAGGGGUUUUUGCAAUCCACACGGCACAGAUUUUUUUGAUUAUGUAGAUUUUUUUUUUCCUCCUCUAUUGCAGUUUCAUAUGCAAAGCAUGCAUCAGCCACAUCCAUGCUAUCUCCUAAAGCAGUCAUUCUGAAACCCAAUCUGGGGACAGUGCAGACUAAAUAAAAUUUCAUUUUGAUUUGGCCUCCCGCUGAGAAUGGGACUGCUUUGUUUCAGCCGACAGAACCAGCAAGCCAGAAAGGUGUUGAAUACACAAAUACUGACUUAACAGAAAAUUAUAUAAAAAGAAGCAAAAUUGUUGGGGUGCAUACGAUUUCAAAAUAUUACUUCAUAAUGAGCAUAAAACACAGCUUAAAGCACAUAUUAUGGGUCCAGAAGAACACAUCUUUCAGUCUUCAAGAAGUAUUUAAACUACUCUGGCAGAUGAAGCCAGGAAAUUGUGAUGCCCUGAGCAACUCUUUUGGAUCACUUGGAAAACUCUGUAAAAAUGAAGAAUAGACCUCACAGAUCUCCUAAUUUUAAGAAUAAACCCGUAGUUUUGAAAAUUGUCA
ensembl:lncRNA